GCGCCGUGGGGGCACAUCCGGGCACUGGGGCAGGAUGAAUGCUCCUUUCCAAGAUGGCGGCGGAGGGAGGAGGGAAGGAGAUGAACGAGAUUAAGACCCAGUUCACUACCCGGGAGGGGCUGUACAAGCUGCUGAGCCACUCGGAGUACAGCCGGCCCAACCGGGUGCCCUUCAACUCCCAGGGCUCUAACCCGGUCCGCGUCUCCUUCGUCAACGUCAACGACCAGAGCGGCAACGGCGACCGGCUCUGCUUCAAUGUGGGCCGGGAGCUCUACUUCUACAUCUACAAGGGGGUCCGCAAGGCUGCUGACUUGAGUAAACCAAUAGACAAAAGGAUAUACAAAGGAACACAACCAACCUGUCAUGACUUCAAUCACUUAACAGCCACAGCAGAAAGUGUCUCUCUCCUAGUUGGCUUCUCUGCAGGCCAGGUCCAACUUAUAGACCCUAUUAAAAAAGAAACUAGCAAAUUAUUUAAUGAGGAAAGACUAAUAGACAAGUCCAGAGUAACCUGUGUAAAAUGGGUCCCAGGUUCGGAAAGCCUUUUCCUAGUAGCUCAUUCCAGUGGAAAUAUGUACUUGUAUAAUGUGGAGCACACUUGUGGUACCACAGCCCCACACUACCAGCUACUUAAGCAAGGAGAAAAUUUUGCAGUUCACACUUGCAAGAGUAAAUCCACAAGAAAUCCUCUACUUAAAUGGACCGUAGGCGAGGGUGCCCUGAAUGAAUUUGCUUUUUCCCCUGAUGGGAAAUUUUUGGCAUGUGUAAGCCAAGAUGGCUUUCUUCGUGUGUUUAACUUUGAUUCAGUGGAGUUGCAUGGUACAAUGAAAAGCUACUUUGGGGGACUACUAUGUGUGUGUUGGAGCCCAGAUGGGAAAUACAUUGUAACAGGUGGCGAGGAUGACUUGGUAACAGUUUGGUCUUUUGUGGACUGUCGAGUAAUAGCUAGAGGCCACGGACAUAAAUCAUGGGUUAGUGUUGUGGCAUUUGACCCAUACACCACUAGUGUAGAAGAGAAUGAUCCAAUGGAAUUUAGUGGCAGUGAUGAGGAUUUCCAAGACCUUCUGCAUUUUGGUAGAGAUCGAGCAAAUAGCACACAAUCUAGGUUAUCAAAAAGGAACUCUACAGACAGUCGUCCAGUAAGUGUUACAUAUAGGUUUGGUUCUGUAGGCCAAGACACACAACUCUGUUUGUGGGACCUUACAGAAGAUAUUCUCUUCCCUCACCAACCUCUUUCACGAGCAAGGACACACACAAAUGUUAUGAAUGCCACAAGUCCACCUGCAGGAAGUGGUGGAACUAAUCCAGGAAGUAAUGGAAACAGUAUCACAACACCUGGUGGAAACUCAGUACCCCCUCCUCUUCCACGGUCAAACAGCCUUCCACAUUCUGCAGUCUCAAAUGCUGGCAGUAAAAGCAGUGUCAUGGAUGGUGCCAUUGCUUCUGGUGUUAGUAAGUUUGCAACCUUAUCGCUGCAUGAUCGGAAGGAAAGACACCAUGAAAAAGAUCACAAGAGAAAUCAUAGCAUGGGACAUAUAUCUAGCAAGAGCAGUGACAAACUGAACCUAGUUACUAAAACCAAAACGGACCCAGCUAAAACUUUGGGAACACCUCUCUGUCCCAGAAUGGAAGAUGUUCCCUUGUUAGAGCCUCUUAUCUGUAAAAAGAUAGCACAUGAAAGACUGACUGUGUUAAUUUUUCUUGAAGACUGUAUAGUCACUGCUUGUCAGGAGGGAUUUAUUUGCACAUGGGCAAGGCCUGGUAAAGUGGUAAGUUUUAAUCCUUAAUGCUGCAUCAAAGAAUUAGAACUUUGAAUAGGUAGUUUUCUCAAUAUAUCUGAUUAUUGGAUAUAAAAUCUCUUUAUGCUUAAUGUAAAAAGGUUGUUUCCUUAGAGCCAUACUUUUGGAUACUGCAUGCCAUAUUUCUGAAUUAUUUGAAGUGUCUUGGGGACCGUUUCUUAGUUGCCUUCCAACCAGAGAAAUACUGUGUAUCCAAAGUUUGUGUUCCUAUAUUUUCAAAAUUUUAUAGUAUAAACACAACAUGGUAAAGGCAUAGAUUUAAAAGUGUUCAAUCACUAAAGUAACAAUAUUAGUUAUUCACACAUUUUUCCUAUGCUGCUAUUUUCCUGGGUUUUGAAAUACUACUGCUUUGAGUAUACCAUGAAAUGCUAGCUUUUUUAGUGUUUAGGUAUCUUAUUUGAAAAAACACAAGCGUUUUAACACUAACUUCUUAUGGAUUUCUUCAGUAUUAAUACAUAUCUGUCAACUUGUGAGCAAACUUUUCAAACCCUGUGCUGACCAUAUUAGAAAUAAUUCAUAGUACAAUUGCCUGAAAUUGUAUAUCUGUCCUACUGUACUAAUGAGACUUUUUUUUGAACCUGUAUAAAGGUUUUGAUUUUUAUAGGGCUCAUUAUCAUGAGAAGAAUCAUAGCCACGGUUAAAAAUCUGCAUAAACCAUAUCAUGUUUGGUCCAGUAGUGUCCAUUUUACUAGCCAAAUAUGGAGCAAAACUGAAUUUUUUAGCACAGACCUUUCAAUCAAUCAAUCACAUCUACCAGUUUACGGUAAUUUGUAGGAGUUUUACCCUCUAUUGUAAAAGCCUUUGAAUCUUGAAUAUUGAUUUUGUCCAUUACAUGGCAUUUUCUUCUUGUUUUUUUUAAUGAGCCUAAAACUGUCAUCUUACAGCCUCAAGCACCUUCCAUGUCAACAUAGCUUUAAAAUUCUGAGAUGAAAUACAGUUCUGAGAAACCAUUGCUAACCAUUGAACCUGCAGCAGGUGCGCUCAUUUAUGUCUGAUUACUUGUGUAAAUUAUUUGAAUAUUUUCCUAAUUAGACAAUAUAUAGAGAGAGUUCCUUAAUGCUAAAACUGUCUGAUUCUUUAGAGCCAUCUAUGGAGCAAUAAAUUUGUUCCAGAAAACUAAAAUGCACUACAACUUAUCUAUCUUCAGAUUUCUGUUGCAUGUCUAAAAAUGACAUGACUAUAGAAUUAAUCCUUUUUAAAAAGAGGUGAUGCUAGCUGCUUUGAAACUCCAAGCACAUAUUCUUAAAGCUCCUCAAGUUUGAUUCUGAAAUCUCAUAUUAUAUGCACACACAGAGAAUUUCUUCCACUUAGUAUCUCUGCACACUUACUUAGUGGCUAGAUCAAUUAAGUCUGAACAUAGUGAAUCUUUCUCUUGAUGAUAUGGGGAAGGGGCAUUACUUACUUUAAAAAUAAUCAGUACAUGAGAAUCAUGUAACUGAAAAUAGUGAAACUACAUUACAGUGGAACUAGAACAUCUGUAAAUCAGUACAAGUCACAAACAUUCUUGUAAAAGUAACUUUAAACGUGCAUUAGUGUCUCAGCUUUCCAGAGAAUAUUGCCUUUUUGCGUAAAUGUUAACCCAGAUUGUGUGUGUUUUCAAAUAUUUGCUUUUUUUCUUUUAACUAGUAAAUUAGGUUUUUUCUUAAACUGCUGAGCGUAACUUAGACUGUUUUUGUGCACAAAUGGUUUUGAUUUAGAAUAUAUAUAUCUCAGAUAUUUCAGAGAUAGAGUAUGCAGUACCCAAAAAUGAGGAUUUUUGUCUUUGGCUAAUAUGGAAAACUUUAAUUACAGGUAAGUUAUUUUCAUGCUGAAGUUCUCAAUCUUUCAGAUUAAUAUAUUGCACACCGAUGUAAAUGCCAUAUUGAUUAGGAUAUAUUUACUUCCCUAGAAAGAUAUUUUCAAAUGGACUUUGUAGCUCUUUCUUUAUUUGCAUUUACAGUGAGUUCUUGCUAUUUAAAAUGUGAUGGCAUGUUUACAGGGUUUUGAUGGGGAAGUAUCUGUGCCAGAAAGAUAAGCGUCCUUUGGUUUAUAAGAUAGAGCACUUAUUAUAAUUUUAUGCAUAUUUAAUGAGUGGUGAAAGUAUAAAAACACUCAUGGGAACAUGUCACUUCUGGGUUAUAGACCACAUAUUUCUAUAUUGCCAAUGGUUUUAUCCUUGGCUAAGUGUCACUUUGGAGUUUAAAGCUGCUAUCUUCUGUCUUGCUCCCAUCAUAUGGGUUCUUGACAGUUCUGGAAGAGUACCCUCUGCACCAUUUUUUUUUCUUAAUUAAAAAAAAAUAAUCCACUGUUGCCUCACAAACCACCUCAUCUGAGUGCCAACCAUAACCAACUCAAGGAAAAUUAAACUAGCCUGGCAAUAGAAAGCGCCUGUACCAGUGAGCCAUCUCCUACCUUUCCCUCUCAUUUGCCUCCUCUUGUAAGAGCCACCAAAGCACUUACUGUGCAGUCUAAAUGACAGUAUGCCGUGUAUUUGCCACUAAUUUACAAAAAGAAGGCAUUGAGGCUCAGGUGAAGAGUGGUCUUGCUUAGUUUAGACAGAUUGAAUCUCUUGUCCACAGUGUGGUCUCCACUGGCCUUGGCUGAAAAUCCAGAAACGGAUCUUCAGCACUGAUUCCAUGAGGCCAUUAUGAUGCACUGCCAUGCCAGUCUCCCAUAGCCUACACUGCAAGCUUUAUGAAUUACUUCAGUUUACUCAUCAUACCUUGAGCUUUCUUAUUGGCUACAUUGUUCUAGUAAAGUAUGUGAUCCAAACAUGCUUCUUUUAAAUCAUCACACUAACACUUGGUGAAAAGCAUUGCAAGGGGUUUACAAAAUGAGUAAAACAAAUUGGGUGGAGGUAAAGAAUUGUUUUCAUUUUCUGAAAAAGAAUGAAUUUUUUAUCUUAAUUUGAUCCCUUCAUUUACAAAUUUCACUUUCAUUUUAGGAACUGUAAUACCAUCUUACACACUCUUCCUGAGGGUUUGAAUUCUGAGAUGUAUUUUUCUUUCCUUAGUUGAGUAACUGCUAUCAGAUUGGCCAUGGGGAUUGCUCCAUAGAUGGGUCUUAGAAAGUUUCAUCUUAUCCUUUAACCUGUCUGAAAACAACUUAAAUAGGAGAGAAUUAGAAAAGUGAAAUUGCAUAUGAAUCACAUUGCCAUUUACUUUAAAACCAAAUUAUAAGUACUAUAGAUACCAUAAAAAUGCUUUAUCACUACAUGCAAAGGAAUUUAAUAAUUCCUUUAAACGAUUUUCCUAGGCAUGAAUGUAGCUUCCCAAACUAAGUUACUUCAAUACAGUACAAAAUAAAUUUCAUUACCUAAAUGUUUGAUACUAAAAUUUAACUUGCUUAUCUUGUACAACCACAUGGUUUUAAUUUAAGGAAAAAUUACCACUUAUUUCUCUUCUGAGAGCUCAAGGUAAGAUUGGAUAGAAUUCCAAAAAAGUGAAAUGGCAACAUAUAUCUGGAAGACUAAAUACGUUACCAUUUAUUGAAACAAUGCACAUGAAAUUUCGAAUGUUUUUUAUUCUUAUUGUACAUGAAAAUCUUAAGUAAUAUCCUUAAAUCUUCCAACUAGCUACAGUUGUAGUACGGUAUGUUUUAGUAUGACUUUUUUAUGUUUUUGCUAAAAGUACUUAAAGAUUCAUGUAUUAUACUUCGGUGAGUGGGGAGACUAAGCUAUAUGUGAGUUCUUCCUCGGAGGGGGGAAGCAUUUUUUCAAUACAACUGAAGUUUAAUUACUGGUAUUUUGAAGUACUGUCAUAUAGAAAUAUUUUCAUGUGAUAACAGCAUCUCUGUAAAUGCUACAGUAAAACUGAAUCAUGACUGUAUGAUUUCAGGGUACCAAGGUGAAAUUUGAAGUUUCCUGUAAUGUGCAUAUACUAGCAAACAAAAUUGCACAUAUAGUACUCCCUCAUUAGCAGGUUGAAUUUAUACUAAUAUACUGGUUUGACUUAUGAAUAGCGAGGUGUGGCAAAGUGACUUCAGUGAAGCCAGGAGAGAUCAUAACCCUUUAUAAAAGGUCUUAUAAGUGCAGGUUUCUGGAUUAGGAAAUCACACGACUUUUACUAAACACUUGCAGACAUGCCAUGCUUUGAACUAUCCUCUUUUAAAAACUUGGUUAUGUGCUUGAAGAGACUGUAUAAAUCUGCCCCUUUAGUGUCUUAAAUCUACUAAAAUGAUACUGAAAAAAAUUGUUGGCCUGCUUAUGUUACAAUAAUGAAAUUCAUGUCAGUUAAUUUACUGUGGCACAACUUAGCUGUAAAAGUUAAACAGUUUUUUUUCCUGCAUUUUUACCAAUUCUGUAUACUUGAGUUUGUUAAAGAUUGAUAUGUUAGAGGUGAUAAUGUACAAAAUUGUAUUGACUAUACCUUUAGUGAAAAUCAAGAGAAUUCAUAUGUAUUUCCUUUUUACACUUCCAUCUAAUUUCUUGACACCUUGAAUAAAUUUCAUAGAGCCUUUCUAACAUGAAAUAUUGUUAAAUUAACUGUUGCAAUAAUUAAGCUUUAAUAAGUAUUGUUGGUAUAUUUAUAAUUUUAAAAAUCAAGUUUGUUUCAUACUGCUUAUUUUUUAGCUAUUCUGUUAUCACUGUUACAGCUGAAGAACCUUACUAAAUACUUGACAUUACAGAAUUUGCUGAGGUUGUCCUCUGUAUACUGACGUUAAAUAAAAUGUGACUGAAUUAUAAAUGUAGAUAAUUUUCAAUACUCCUUUUCACAUCUAAGUUCUGAAAGCUGGGAUAUAAGUUAGGUUUUUUUCCUGCAUGCUAUACAUGCCUUUUUGAACAGAUGGCUGCAGUGAAACAUCUAGCUUUUUAGCUGCUAUUUUAUAACGUAAGGAAUUGGCUAAAUCAUGCAGUUUGAGUAAAUAUUCAGAAAUUGUUCUCAAGUUGAUAUUAAAUCAAAUGUGGGAUUAGAUGUCACUUCCAACUCUUGAAAUAUGUUGUGACGUUCUUGUUUACUUUUUAAAUCCUUAAAUAUCAGAACAAUGUGAAAAUUCCAUUUUAAACUGAUUCAGUAAUUCAGACAUUGGUACACUAGGAUGUCAAUAUAUAACCAUCAAGCAGCAGUUGGAAUGGAGAAUUUUGUCUUUGGACUCUUCAGGAUCUGUAGAUUCAAGCUGUGUGUUGGUCACAGUCCUAAAUAGACCUUGAGACGUACUAUACAAAACUGAGUUCACAGCCCUAAAGGAUGUGCUUUAAAAAAGUCAAUUCAGGUGCUUCAUACCUAGAAAUAAUAUCGUAGGGCCAGAACAGACCAAGUCUGACAUUGACUUGGAUAGUCAAGUUAGGCUACAAUGUUGCCCACUCACUCCCAUCAGAGGCGCAUGGGAACAGCUGAUCAAGGUUUUCCAUCCCUUAAACCAGAGUUCAGGUUUAUUCACAUAAGCAUUUAACAAAAAUGAUAUUCUUGAAGUUGUUUCCCAGGUUUGAGCUUUUCUAACAGAGCCUUCAAAUUCUCCUUAUUUCAUUGUAUGUAAGUUUUAGAGUCAUUAUGAGCCCUGGCAAGGAGAAAUCAAUUUCCUGGUUGGUGAAACUCCCCUGGAGCUUUCUGAUGAUUGGGGAAGAUUCUUCCUUUAUUGGAUUUAAAUUCUUCAUGGUCUGGCAUUUGAAUGAACAACCUUGGUGUGACUGAGCCCGGUAGCACUUUUGGAAGAAUGUGGUGAGAGGAAAGGUGAAAUCUAUCCUGACAGUGUGAUGUGGGAAUGUCUGUAAACAAGAAUGGGUUGCCCUAACAAGUUCCACAGGAAUCAGUGGGAACUGGAAAGCAAUCUGCCAUUCCCUAUUCUAGUCAUAAUGGAUACUUUAGUAAAACUCCCAGCUGUAACUUGACUUCUGUUUUCCUUUUUAAAUAUCUCUUGCACAAACAUCCAUAAGGAAAGUCAGUGUGAUUGUGCUCUAGUCUAAUUUGAAAGUUCAGAUUUGAUUGGAACAUUCAUCAACUUCACUGGUUUCCAUCCAUUCACUGUUCUCAGAUUGAGAGUUCACAUAUUCUUGGCUGCUGUAAUUUCUACUCAAAUUUGCCUGGUUUUUCGGAAGUCACUUUUUUUGACCUGACACGUGACCUAAAUCUUGCCAGAAGUUCUAGCGUGAAAGGGCUAGAGAAUAUUGCUUUCUGUACUGGAGUACUUUAUUCCUAAACUAGGUCAAAGCUUCCAUGCCUGGGUGGGAUUAGGACCCUGCCAGCAAAAGCAUACAUGCACUUCAGCAGGUCUUAGUGAAGAUACACAAAGCAGUUACACUCAUGAGGGUAUAGUUUGUCCCUUGGACCACAGACACCUUUCAUAUGUAGGCCAAAGUGUUGAGCCCUUAAGGUAUGGUAAACUUACCUCUGGAUGUUUGGGGCAAAGAGUUUUUACAUAAAAGAGUUUUGCCACACAAGUUAAGGAUGGAAAUAAACUUCAGUAAUUAAAUAUAUGCUAAUAUAUACCAGAAGUAAAAUUGCAACUGAAUCACUUGUGUUGCUGCCGCAUACGUUUACAAGGAAUUUUAUCCUACUUGUAUGUAAUCUAUACCUCGGCAUACUACACUACUUCAGCAAAACAAGAAAAGACAAGUAAAUACUUUAGCACUAAACAAUUCCCAUGAAGCAAAUAAAUCUUUAAAAAAGGAAACCAAACAAGCAUUUUAAAUAGAAAUUACUAUAACAUUGGCUUUCCCAUAAUUUCCCGUUCUCCCAGGCUCUUGCAGUUCAAGGAGUCUUCUGCUACACGAUGGGUGUAUGUUCAAAGGAUUUGCCCUUUUUUAAAAAACAUUUCAACGCAAGUUCACAAGUUGAUCUUAUGACUCCAUUAGGAAUUAUUUGAGCUAGUAAAGAAAUUCAUGCAGUUUAGUUCCUCGUUUUAACAUUUAAAACACUUAUCAAGCUACUUGUUGAGGUCUCAUUUAAACAAAGUUUUUAUCAGUUUAAAACUGUGAGCUCAGAUUUAAAUCAGUGUAACUUUGUGGAUACUUUGAUUGGUUUAAUUUGCAUCUUGGCAGCGCGAGCCUGUCUAACAAGUUAAAAACUGGAUGUAGUGUCUAAGUAAGCUUAAGGCCUGAUUUACACUGCUGCAGCUUCAUGGUGGGUGUAUAAAGUCUGAAGAUUAUCAAGUGGAUCAUAUAGAACCCAGUUACCACCAUAUGUGUUGCUUCACAUUUUUCAAUUUCUCACUGAGAUACAUCAGGUAGAAGGUAUAUUUUUCUUAAUACCUAAAUUUCUGCAAGUUGGACUAAUCUAUUCCUCCUUUGGCUGCAAUCAAUUUUAUCUUCAUAUUUGUAACUCUGUGGUCACUUUCAUCAGCACUAAUCUCAUUUCAUAUUCAAGUAUUAGCUGAAAGAUUUUGAAAUUCAGACAUUCAGAUUAUUGCAGCUGAGAGUCUGGAACUUUGCAUUGUAAAUUUGUCUUUGCACAUCACUUCAGUCUCAAAAGAUAUUUCAGAGGCUUUGCAAGUUUGUUCUUUCUGAAGGAGAAUUAAAAAUCAAAAUGCCUUCAGUACCAAGAAUUGUGGGUGAGAAUAAGUACUCAAUGUUUUUUUUAAAAGGCUGUCUCUUUUCUGAAUAGAAAAUGCAAAUAUGGCUCAUUCUGAACUUGAUUGGAAUAUCUUUAGAGGUCUAAAUGCCUUUGCAGGAUAGGGAAGGAAAAGCUAAAUGAAUUUGUUUGAGCAUGCUCAAUGAGUACAGUAUAUUAUUUCAGACCCAUUUAUGAAAUAAUAUAUGUUCUGGUAAGCCUGACUAGUAUUUGAUAGUCCAAGAGACCAUUGCUGAAACUUGAAUUAAAGAACUCUGCAAAAUCUUCCCAACAAAAAGACCAGUUUUAACGGUAGGAAUAAGGAAACGAAUAUAUUAAUUUUGUGCAUCUCCCCUCCCGUCGUGCUUUCUGCAUUUUUUUGAUGCAUUCUAUGAUCUGUAACUUACACAUUUUAUUUUAAGAAGAUUUGGACAUCAUAACUUCAAAAGAUGUCCUAAAAAAGUAACAACUAUCAAAACUAUGAACUUCUUCCUACUUUACAACAGUGAAUGGAGCAAGAUGUGAAUGUUAAAGCUUAACAGGAAUAACAUUUUUCCUCUUGUGGGUUAUGGAUUUUUUUAAUUAGAAAUAAAUUCCUGGUAUGAGUGUUUCGUCUUCUAUGAAUGCUGUUCUAAUUAAACAAUAAAAAAUAGUGUAGGUAAUUAAAAUGUCACCAGUCACUUUUUUUAAUUGGCCCUUGAUGCACACUUAGUAUUCACUAUCUUGUUUACUGAAAACAUAGCUUAAUACAAUGCAUAUUAUGCACCAAAAUAAUUUUGUGUGCACAUGGCAGAUUGGAAGUUGCAGUAGGAAUCUGAAUUUCUUCAUACUUUCCAGACUCUAACUUGGAAGUGGGCAACCUGACUCUUGCAUUAGCAGGUUUUUGUACUUAAUUGCUUUUCUGCAAUUUGUGUUUUGUCCCAUCUUCUCUGGGCUAUCCAAGAGUAGUUCAGUUGCAGCAGGCCAUUUUGUCUCCUUAUCUUCACUUCUUUGCUUCUUUUCUGCUUGAACGUAAGUUUUCCUCACAAAUAUUGAUCAUCGUUGGAUGAAAAUUCAUAUUCAUAUGCAUAGUUUAAUGGCCUUUUCUUGCUUUGCUUAUAUGUAAGAAGACCUACAUAACACAGGUUAAAGAACUUCACCUAGUAACUUCUGCAUCAAACCCAUAAUUUGUUUGACCCUAUCGCUUCAAAAAAUAUCCAGUCUCAAUUUAAAGAAAUCAGAUUACCACUUUCAGUUAAAUGUAAUCUGUGAUGCUUGUUUUCAUUCUUGGUCUUAAUGUGAAUUAUACCAUUAAAUUGUUACCCAUUGGAAUAUAUUAGCCAAUAUAGGUUGAACCUCUCUAGUAUGGCACUCUGGUCCGGCAACAUCUGUGGCCUUGCAUGAUUUUAGUUACCUGGAUGCCCACUUAUCAGGGGUUUAGCCAAGUUUCCUGUAGGUCCAUAAUGUUUGUUUGCAACCAUCAGUCCUGUCACACAAUGUUCUGUGUUGUUGUUUAGUUUCAGUUUACCCCUAAAUGUCUUCUAAGAGCACAGUAAGCGGCGGAAGUGUUGGUAAUGCUGCUAGACAACAUUGAAUUUCUGUGGUUCAGCAAAUUCUCUGGGUUGGCACCAACCAGAUCCCAAGGGUGCCGCACUAAAGAAGUUCAACUUGUACUAACUUUUCACAUUCAAAGAGCUGUACAAACAUCUAAUCUUAUCCCAUUUUGAAGUAAUUAGCAGUUAUUGAUGGGCACUAACUGUAUUGGUGGGCACCUGAACCAGGUCUUAUACAGUUCUAAGCAAGGUAGUGUUUCAGGAUAGGGAUUAAAACUUGGGAGUGCCUAAUGUCCAAUCCUAUAUUCAAACCAUGCACCCCAUUUUUCUGAUAAGGUAUUCAUAGCCCAAGAGAUGAGGAUACACCUGAAGAUCAGAGGGUAUGUGCUGCCAUAUUGAUUGGUAGUGCUUCCUAGAAUGGCCACAUGCUAUAUAAAGCCAUACUUUAACACAACAAAUUUCUCGUGUGUUUUACAGGAAGUGACAUUUCAAAUAAGGGUUCCCUAAUCAUUGACAAGGAAUAGUGCCUGUUUCUUUAGUCUGACACCUGAAUACCAUGGUCAUGAACCUAUUAGAAAUACCUUGUUGUUACACCAUCUUUAUAGGAUUUAAUUUGCUUUUACAGUCAUGGGAUUACUAGUGCAUGCACAUGUCAGACCCUGGUUAAUUUAUCAUAAAUAAAAGCGGGCAUAUUGGUACAUUUAGAUGUUAACUACAGAAUAUCCUUUCUCACUGCAUUUUAAAAGUUACUAUGGUCUUCCAAGAAAAUGAAAAUUUUUGGUGUCAUGGUUUAGGAUUAACAGACUCUUGGAAUGUGGUGUGUGAUAACACAAAUUCUGCAUGUGAUUCAGCAUUUCUGAUUUAUACACCACACCAUUUAUUUCCUAAUUUGAAAACAAAAGGCUUUUUGGGGUAACAUUUUCAGAAGUGCCUAAUGACUUAGGUGAUGUUAAAAUGUUUAGGUACAGUUCCAUGCCCUAAGUAUUUUCAUUGCAGUGAAGGCAGGCAAACCAUACGAUUCCUCCUUCUAUGUGAUGCUGAACUCUGAAAUGUGCAACAUCUUUAAGGCCUGAAUAUCCCAGUUGUAUAUGUAAUGACUAUCCCACAAAUAUAUUUCAGUGCAUAAAUUAUGAAAAUCAGUUGUAAAUUGCACAGAGUAAGUGUAGAUGCUACUUACAGAGGGCAGUCUGAAGCAUAGUGCACCAUACCACCUUCUGAGUACCCAUUUUGUGCCACGAACCUCACAAAUCAUGUGGAUGCAUCCCAUGUCUGAAUUGGUGGAUCAGAGAUUUUAAAGGGGAGGCUGAGUUUACCUGAACUUACAUUUUUUGCGACUCAGAUCCACCAAUCCAGAACAUCUUCCACUUCCGUUUGUGGUUUAAGAGAACAGAUUUUUUUCUUCAGUAGGGGUUCCUGGAUUCUUGGAUCCAAGCAAGAAAGAGCUCCUAUAGACUCUGAAGAUGUCACUUAAUUCUACAUUCCUAUUGUUAGUUGCUGUCUGAUCUUGUCUAGCUUGAUGGAUCUGAGUCACAGGAACAUAAUUUAGAGGGUUUAUUGUCAUCCCAAAACCAGGCCAAUUCUCCAAGUGGAACUGUAGUAUAGCCAUCACACUACUGAUAGCGAAUCUUUGAACAAAGGACAAGAAGUAAUGGCAGUGGAACCAGGAGCUGUUCUUCAUGCAGAGAACAUCAGAAAAUAUAAAAUGGCAGUGUAUACACUUUGAAUUAUGUGAAUCACAUAAUUUGCGAAAGAAUAAUGUAAUGAGUUCUUAGUCUGGCUAAUACUUCUAGGCUGCUCAUCCAAAGGAGAAUUUUCCUUUUUAAAAAAGAAAUGCUUCAUUUGGUGUUGCAGUAAAAAAAAAAUUUCUUAAUUUUCUUUAUAUUUUUCAAGUUCAGUGUAAUUUAAUCUAUAUCUAUAUAGAUAUAGAAAGAUGUGUAAAAUAGAGUAUGUUUCUUAAAUCCAAGUAAGUUUAAUGGUUAUAUAAAUUAAUACUUCACCAUUGUUUUUUGCACUGAUUUUUUUUUUAACCAGAGAUGGUUAGAAGACAGCCUGGAAUGCACUCAUGGAGAAAGAAAGUCACUACUUUCUGGCUUAAAUGUAAUUCAGGAAGAUGGAUGCUGCAAUCAGAUUUUUUUAAAGCAAAAUUAUUUGCACUUAGUCUAAUGCUAGUAGAAAAUUACUUUAAAAUGGGUAUUCAGACACCCAUAAAAGCUAUGUUGUGGAAAAAAGAUAUCCUUUGUAUCUAUGAAACAUUUAUUUUAAUAUUGUUUGCAAUUGCAAUCAGCUAUGUAUUAUAUGUAUAAAUGUAAUUCAGUGAUUGGGAGGAAAAUGGAUCAGUACACUAGUAAUUUCAUCUAAGAAAGAUUUCUAAUUCUGAAAAUACAUAUUAAACUAUCUUGAAUAUGCAGUUUUGUUUGUUCUGUUUUAAAUUGGAUCAAUUUUAAUGUAAUCUUUUGUAUUAAAUGACAGGUACAGAAAUACACUAAUCCUUGUAGAAUAUAUUCCUUUAAACUCUUUCACAUCAGGAACACUUUCAUAUUUAAUGCAGUUUAAUUGGAUUAGGGAAAUUAAAAAUUUUCCUCUGUACUUCUUCCUAUUACAACUUACCUCUGAAUACAUUUUCCGGCACAUUCAACAUCAAAAUAUUUAUGAAAAUAGUGCCCUCAGAUUUUUGCAGAUCUCUUCUGAUGCCUUUUAAUAAUUGCAGUUAGUUCAGUUGGUCUCAGAUGUUUUAAUCUUUGAGUUGAAUUGAUUUAAGCUGAUGCUUUUUAUGUAGACAACUGUAACAGUGGUAGGUGCACACACUUUUGUAAAAAUCAGUCAAAUUAUAUACUAAAAUACUGAAGUAGAUUGUAUUUUGACAACUGCUAUGAAAAAAAAAUCAGAUGUCCUUGCUAUCAAUUUAAAAUUUGAGGUAGAAACAAGUGUUUAGAGCCAACUAUUUUAAUUAGUGCAGCUUAAUUGUGGUUGACACUAAUUUUUUUUAUUAUCAAAACAAAGGCCAUUUCAUCUCUCCCAGUAUUUUCUGCAAGGCAAUGAAAGGAAAGCAGCUGUGCUAUCCUGGAUCAAAAUCCAUUAGAAAGGGUGAUUGAAGAUACUGCCAUAUUAUCUCACUGUCCUUCUAAAGGCCCUGCCCCCACUCUGUGAUUCUAUUGUUGGGCUUCUGCUGGACUUGCAGUUGUACAGCUCAGAUGUGAUGGAGUAAAGCUGAGAAGGCUAUUGCUUACAGGAUUCAUUGCCUUCAAAAUGGAAGGACUUUCCAAACAUUUAAAUUGACCUGCAGAAAAUCCCUCAGUUUAAUGCCAAUCCUGAAGGCACGAUCUGGGCCUAAAUUACCAACUAACUUUAUCCCAGAUUCCAACAUCAUCUUUGUAUAGUUGAGUAAAUAUUAAUCACAAUAUGCUAAUGGUCUGUCAAGUUAGAAUAAACUACAUAAUUAUACAGUCAGUGUUAGGAGGACUGCAAGGCUUAUCUAAUCUAACCUGCCAAGAAAACAGAUUUGUUAUGUCUAGACCAUGAAAGACAGAUGGCUGUCCAGACUCAUUUUGAAAACAUCCAGUGAAGGAGCUUCCACAA